UACGAAGGGGGCUAGCGUUGUUCGGAUUUACUGGGCGUAAAGCGCACGUAGGCGGAUCGAUCAGUCAGGGGUGAAAUCCCAGAGCUCAACUCUGGAACUGCCUUUGAUACUGUCGAUCUGGAGUAUGGAAGAGGUGAGUGGAAUUCCGAGUGUAGAGGUGAAAUUCGUAGAUAUUCGGAGGAACACCAGUGGCGAAGGCGGCUGCACUGGUCCGAUUACUGACGCUGAGGUGCGAAAGCGUGGGGAGCAAACAGG
rnacentral:rRNA from 1 species